UACGUAGGGUGCAAGCGUUAAUCGGAAUUACUGGGCGUAAAGCGUGCGCAGGCGGUUGUGCAAGACAGAUGUGAAAUCCCCGGGCUUAACCUGGGAACUGCAUUUGUGACUGCACGGCUAGAGUGUGUCAGAGGGGGGUAGAAUUCCACGUGUAGCAGUGAAAUGCGUAGAGAUGUGGAGGAACACCGAUGGCGAAGGCAGCCUCCUGGGCCAACACUGACGCUCAUGCACGAAAGCGUGGGGAGCAAACAGG
rnacentral:rRNA from 1 species